rnacentral:rRNA from 1 species
CCUACGGGAGGCAGCAGUGAGGAAUAUUGGUCAAUGGGCGCGAGCCUGAACCAGCCAAGUCGCGUGAGGGAGGACGGCCCUACGGGUUGUAAACCUCUUUUGCCGGGGAGCAACGGGCGCCACGUGUGGCGUCACUGAGAGUACCCGGAGAAAAAGCAUCGGCUAACUCCGUGCCAGCAGCCGCGGUAAUACGGAGGCUGCGAGCGUUAUCCGGAUUUAUUGGGUUUAAAGGGUGCGUAGGCGGAUCGUUACGUCAGUGGUCAAAUUGAGGGGCACAGCCCCUUCCCACCAUUGAAACUGGCGUUCUUGAGUGGAAGAGAAGUAUGCGGAAUGCGUGGUGUAGCGGUGAAAUGCAUAGAUAGCACGCAGAACCCCGAUUGCGAAGGCAGCAUGCCGGCUUCCGACUGACGCUGAAGCACGAAAGCGUGGGGAUCGAACAGGAUUAGAUACCCCAGUAGUC